rnacentral:tRNA from 1 species
GUGGAGAUAGCUCAGUAGGUAGAGUACCGGCCUGCCUCGCCGGGUGUCACAGGUUCGAUUCCUGUUUUCCACC